rnacentral:hammerhead_ribozyme from 1 species
GCACUGCUGAGGAAUCCUACAAUAGGAUGAAAUGGACAUCCAGUGC